rnacentral:rRNA from 1 species
CACCCGCAGCACAAGUGGUGGUCACUUUUAUUGAGCCUAAAGCGUUCGUAGCCGGUUUUGUAAAUCUUUAGAUAAAGCCUGAAGCUUAACUCCAGAAAGUCUGAAGAGACUGCAAGACUUGAGAUCGGGUGAGGUUAAACGUACUUUCAGGGUAGGGGUAAAAUCCUGUAAUCCCGGAAGGACGACCAGUGGCGAAAGCGUUUAACUAGAACGAAUCUGACGGUAAGGAACGAAGGCUAGGGUAGCAAACCGG